AGACGGGACCGCACAAGCGGUGGAUGAUGUGAUUAUUCGAUGCAACGCGAAAACCUUACCUACCUUGACAUGUCCGGAAUCCGAAGAGAUUUGGGAGUGCUCGCAAGAGAGCCGGAACACAGGUGCUGCAUGGCUGUCGUCAGCUCGUGUCGUGAGAUGUUGGGUUAAGUCCCGCAACGAGCGCAGCCCUUGUCAUUAGUUGCCAUCAUUUGGUUGGGCACUCUAAUGAGACUGCCGGUGACAAACCGGGAGGAAGGUGGGGAUGACGUCAAGUCCUCAUGGCCCUUAUGGGUAGGGCUUCACACGUCAUACAAUGGUCGGUACAGAGGGUUGCCAACCCGCGAGGGGGAGCUAAUCCCACAAAGCCGAUCGUAGUCCGGAUCGCAGUCUGUAACUCGACUGCGUGAAGUCGGAAUCGCUAGUAAUCGUGGAUCAGCAUGUCACGGUGAAUACGUUCCCGGGUCUU
rnacentral:rRNA from 1 species